UCGACAAUUCCCAAAACCAAGAAAAGCCCUCUUUGUUAAUUCCAUCAACCUCUUGUUGUUCCUCAAAUCUCUAUAUUUUUGCAAUCUCCCCAUUCCUCACCAAGAAAUGGGGCCUCAUUGUUUCACUACAUGUCACAAAUGCCUCGAUCGUUUUAAUGUGUUUAGCCAAUAUAGAUUGAUCAAAGUAAUGUCUGAUUGAUUGUCAUGCAGUAGGAAUUUGUUCUCAUCUCUAACUACAUACAGUUUCAGCUCCAAAAAAAAGAGUUUGGUGUCCACUGAAGAGGUUGGCUUUUGAUGGUUCAAGUUUUUAUGGUGAAUUAUAUUAAUGGUCAUGCAACAUCAACAAAAAAGGUGUUCAAAGAUACAUCUAUGGCAAAGUCUAUGACUGGAAUAGAAGCAAUUGCAACCAUCAAAGCAAUCAAUACUGGCUGGCUGCAUCCAACACUCUACCAAAAUGUACAGAACAUGAUACAAGGAUAUAUUCCUUUUGACAUCUAUAUGAUUUCAUUUCUUGAUUCUUGAUCAUCUGUGCAUGACUUGGAAGGCGAUGUCACAGUCGACACGGUCCCCAAAUAACAUCAAGUUAAUAUUGCCAUAUCUAACUCAUUUGGCUUCAGUUGGCACGACUCUGUGGCCGCGUUUGCUCCACACAAGCCUUGAUGAACGCGGUACAAGUAGUGUGCGCUCUCCAUCUGUUCAGGUAACUCUUUCUUUUUGGUUAAGCUAAUUUGGUGGGAGUAUUAAACUCAAGAAGAACAUUGAUUAUUAAUCAAUAAGAAUAAGGACACUUGGUUUUGGUAUGUCUCUAUUCUAACUUAUUUUUUAAUUGCACUAAAAUGUGGAAGGGGACAGGAUGACACAAAUUUGUUCCUGGUAAAUGAAAAACGUUGUUUUCGUGGUCAGAUUCUGGGCAUUGGAAUGUCACCAAGAAUGUUAGCUGAAGCAUCCCAUUAUGUUUUAUUGUUCAUGGUUUGGUGUAUUUGAAUUUUGCCAAGUGGGGGAGGCAAUGGAAAUAGAAAAUGAAAUGUUGUGAUGUGACAAGAUAUAAUAUGGUGUUUUGAAUCCUGCUUUUGGGACCUAUGUUGGGGUGAAAUUCAAAUGGGGAUUAAUUUCCAGUGAGUUUCAUUGUUGGGUGGAAGACCACAUAUUGCAACUUGUGGAAGCCCUCAUCAGUCA